GGUUGAUCCUGCCGGAGGUCACUGCUAUUGGGAUCCGAUUAAGCCAUGCGAGCCGUGGGUGGUUCGUCCACCCGGCAGAAUGCUCAGUAACACGUGGCAAACCUACCCUGUGGAUUGGGAUAACCCCGGGAAACUGGGGAUAAUCCCGAAUAGAAGAAGCUAGCUGGAAUGCACUUCUUUGAAAUGUUUAGGCGCCACAGGAUGGUGCUGCGGCCGAUUAGGUUGACGGUGAGGUAACUGCUCACCGUGCCGAUAAUCGGUACGGGCCCUGAGAGGGGGAGCCUGGAGACGGACUCUGAGACACGAGUCCGGGCCCUACGGGGCGCAGCAGGCGCGAAACCUUCGCAAUGCGUGCAAGCGCGACGAGGGGAUCCCGAGUGCCCUCGCACUGCGGGGGCUUUUCUGGAGUCUAGGACGCUCUAGGUAAUAAGGGCUGGGAAAGACCGGUGCCAGCCGCCGCGGUAACACCGGCAGCUCGAGUGGUGACCACUAUUAUUGGGCUUAAAGCGCCCGUAGCCGGACUUACAAGCCCCUGGUUAAAUUCUACGGCUUAACCGUAGGCUUGCUGGGGGAACUGUAAGUCUUGGGGCCGGAAGAGGUCGGAGGUACUCCCGGGGUAGUGGUAAAAUGCUAUAAUCCUGGGGGGACCACCAAUAGCGAAAGCAUCCGACUGGGACGGACCCGACGGUGAGGGACGAAGGCCAGGGGAGCGAACCGGAUUAGAUACCCGGGUAGUCCUGGCUGUAAACAAUGUGGACUAAGUUUCGCUGAGACCACGAGUCUCAGGGGAGCUGAAGAGAAAUCAUUAAGUCCACCGCCUGGGAAGUACGGCCGCAAGACUGAAACUUAAAGGAAUUGGCGGGGGAGCACCACAAGGGGUGGCGCGUGCGGUUUAAUUGGAUUCAACGCCGGAAACAUUACUGGCGGAGACGGCAGGAUGAAGGUCAGCUUGA
rnacentral:rRNA from 1 species